UACGUAGGGUGCAGGCGUUAAUCGGAAUUACUGGGCGUAAAGCGUGCGCAGGCGGUCUUUUAAGUCAGAUGUGAAAUCCCCGGGCUUAACCUGGGAACUGCAUUGGUGACUGCAAGGCUAGAGUGUGUCAGAGGGAGGUGGAAUUCCGCGUGUAGCAGUGAAAUGCGUAGAGAUGCGGAGGAACACCGAUGGCGAAGGCAGCCUCCUGGGAUAACACUGACGCUCAUGCACGAAAGCGUGGGGAGCAAACAGG
rnacentral:rRNA from 1 species